GGGCGUGUAGCUCAGGGGUAGAGCGCUCGCUUUGCAUCAUCUGUCGUUUGCGAGAAGUCCAGGGUUCAAAUCCCUGCUCGUCCA